rnacentral:lncRNA from 10 species
AAUUGAGGCAACACUUCAGCUGCUGGGAAUGAUCUUCUGCAAGGACCUUCUGCUCCUUUGUAAUCUUCCUAAGCUGAAUACAGUCUCUUCACCCAAGAGUAAGUCCCCUCCCUGGGGAUAGCUCAAGUCUAAUGGUCAGUUGGUAAGUAUUGCCUUUGAAGAUAUGUAGAGUUGCUAACAAAUGACUGACUCUGGACCUGAACAAUGAAAGCCAGAGAAUGAAUGACAUAUCCGAGCAAGUCAUGCUGAUCAGGUCUAAUUUCUUGGUGUUUGGAGGUAUCUCACAGCCUACAUGAAAGGUUUUAGGCUCAUCUUGUUCAUAUCCUGCCUCAGAUGCGGAAUCAGCCAACUCCCUGAGCACCCCUACUUCAUUUA